CUAGCAUGUGCCGUCAAUUGACCGCCUAGUAGCUGCGGUUAACCGCAGCUUAAUUGACUGUUACUGGGUGGCCGCGGUUACACUUAGCCGCCACCCAGUGGCGGUGUUAUGGAGCUCUCCGGACGGCCAGCGGUGCUCAGCCCAGAAUCAGUGCACUAAAAGCGGAUACUUUUACGUGCAGGCACCGCUGAGCCUCCAGCCUUCCCUGCUUCUAUUUCGGUUGUUUAAAUGAACGCUGGAUUGAUCUGGACUUUACUUAAGUGAAUGUUUUAACCCAGAUAGCUAUGCCAUGGAGCUUAUUCGUGUAAUUAAAGACUUUGGCUCCAUGGCAAUUGAACUGUAUGUGUGUGAUGUGAGCGCUAUUCAGUAGUUAUGUGCGCUCAGAUCUAAGCUAUCUGGGGAUAUGUGACAUGUAUGGAAUUG